GACGAACCGAGCGAACGUUGUUCGGAAUAACUGGGCUUAAAAGGGCGCGUAGGCGGGCCGCCAAGUUCGAGGUGAAAUCCUCCGGCUCAACCGGAGAACUGCCUCGAAUACUGGAGGCCUCGAGGCGGGUAGGGGCGUGCGGAACUGUGGGUGGAGCGGUGAAAUGCGUUGAUAUCCACAGGAACUCCGGUGGCGAAGGCGGCACGCUGGACCCGAUCUGACGCUGAGGCGCGAAAGCCAGGGGAGCAAACGGG
rnacentral:rRNA from 1 species